GGGGAACCCAGCACGAGUUAUGUCGUGUUAUCGACAAGUGAAUUCAUAGCUUGUCAGAAGGCAGACCCGGAGAACUGAAACAUCUUAGUACCCGGAGGAAGAGAAAGAAAAAUCGAUUCCCUGAGUAGCGGCGAGCGAAACGGGAAGAGCCCAAACCAAUAAGCUUGCUUAUUGGGGUUGUAGGACACUCUAUGCGGAGUUACAAAGGAAUAUGUUAGACGAAUCAUCUGGAAAGUUGAAUCAAAGAAGGUAAUAAUCCUGUAGUUGAAAAUAUAUUCUCUCUUGAGUGGAUCCUGAGUACGACGGAGCACGUGAAAUUCCGUCGGAAUCUGGGAGGACCAUCUCCUAAGGCUAAAUACUCUCUAGUGACCGAUAGUGAACCAGUACCGUGAGGGAAAGGUGAAAAGUACCCCGGAAGGGGAGUGAAAGAGAACUUGAAACCGUGUGCUUACAAGUAGUCAGAGCCCGUUAAUGGGUGAUGGCGUGCCUUUUGUAGAAUGAACCGGCGAGUUACGAUCUGAUGCAAGGUUAAGCAGGAAAUGUGGAGCCGUAGCGAAAGCGAGUCUGAAUAGGGCGUUGAGUAUUUGGUCGUAGACCCGAAACCAGGUGAUCUACCCAUGGUCAGGUUGAAGUUCAGGUAACACUGAAUGGAGGACCGAACCGACUUACGUUGAAAAGUGAGCGGAUGAACUGUGGGUAGCGGAGAAAUUCCAAUCGAACUUGGAGAUAGCUGGUUCUCUCCGAAAUAGCUUUAGGGCUAGCCUCAAGUGAUGAUUAUUGGAGGUAGAGCACUGUUUGGACGAGGGGCCCCUCUCGGGUUACCGAAUUCAGACAAACUCCGAAUGCCAAUUAAUUUAACUUGGGAGUCAGAACAUGGGUGAUAAGGUCCGUGUUCGAAAGGGAAACAGCCCAGACCACCAGCUAAGGUCCCAAAAUAUAUGUUAAGUGGAAAAGGAUGUGGCGUUGCCCAGACAACUAGGAUGUUGGCUUAGAAGCAGCCAUCAUUUAAAGAGUGCGUAAUAGCUCACUAGUCGAGUGACACUGCGCCGAAAAUGUACCGGGGCUAAACAUAUUACCGAAGCUGUGGAUUGUCCGUAGGACAAUGGUAGGAGAGCGUUCUAAGGGCGUUGAAGCAUGAUCGCAAGGACAUGUGGAGCGCUUAGAAGUGAGAAUGCCGGUGUGAGUAGCGAAAGACGGGUGAGAAUCCCGUCCACCGAUUGACUAAGGUUUCCAGAGGAAGGCUCGUCCGCUCUGGGUUAGUCGGGUCCUAAGCUGAGGCCGACAGGCGUAGGCGAUGGAUAACAGGUUGAUAUUCCUGUACCACCUAGCAUCGUUUUAAUCGAUGGGGGGACGCAGUAGGAUAGGCGAAGCGUACGAUUGGAUUGUACGUCUAAGCAGUGAGAUUGAGUGUUAGGCAAAUCCGGCACUCUUAAGAUUGAGCUGUGAU
rnacentral:rRNA from 1 species